rnacentral:rRNA from 1 species
UACGUAGGGGGCAAGCGUUGUCCGGAAUCAUUGGGCGUAAAGAGCGUGUAGGCGGCUCGAUAAGUCUGCUGUGAAAGUCCAGGGCUCAACCCUGGAAGGCCGGUGGAAACUGUCGGGCUAGAGUCCGGAAGAGGCGAGUGGAAUUCCCGGUGUAGCGGUGAAAUGCGCAGAUAUCGGGAGGAACACCAAUGGCGAAGGCAGCUCGCUGGGACGGUACUGACGCUGAGACGCGAAAGCGUGGGGAGCAAACA